rnacentral:rRNA from 1 species
AAUAUUGCACAAUGGGCGCAAGCCUGAUGCAGCGACACCGCGUGGGGGAUGAAGGCCUUCGGGUUGUAAACUCCUUUCGCUAGGGACGAAGCUUUGUUGUGACGGUACCUAGAUAAGAAGCACCGGCUAACUACGUGCCAGCAGCCGCGGUAAUACGUAGGGUGCGAGCGUUGUCCGGAAUUACUGGGCGUAAAGAGCUCGUAGGUGGUUUGUCGCGUCGUCUGUGAAAUUCCGGGGCUUAACUUCGGGCGUGCAGGCGAUACGGGCAAUACUUGAGUGCUGUAGGGGAGACUGGAAUUCCUGGUGUAGCGGUGGAAUGCGCAGAUAUCAGGAGGAACACCGAUGGCGAAGGCAGGUCUCUGGGCAGUAACUGACGCUGAGGAGCGAAAGCAUGGGUAGCGAAC